GUGAAUCAUCGAAUCUUUGAACGCAUAUUGCACUCUUUGGUAUUCCGGAGAGUAUGCCUAUUUGAGGGUCAUUUGAAAUAAUAUAAAUUCCAAGAUUUCUCGGAUUUUAAUAUGGGUUGUCCAUUUUUUGUGGUCGCCUAAAAUCCAAGACAAGCUCCUUUUCUCGGGUUGCGUGAUACUUUCAGGAACCUCGUGACUUAACAAAGAAUCAUCGGGCGUGCUAUCAAUUC
rnacentral:misc_RNA from 1 species